GGCCAUGCCCAGCGGGCCGAGGGAAAGGCUCCGACGGGGCUGCCCGGGUCCUGGCGCACGUCUGCGGACCGACCCUGGGCAUGAAAAGGUCACAGCCGCCAGGGCUGCGUCUCCGACGGUGGCCACCCUAGGUGUGCCGAUCCCGAGAAGCCGGGACCCCGGGUAACCGGCUGCUCAGCGAAGCCUGCCCCCUCCUCGAGUCCGACGGCAGGGCUUCCCGGUCCUGGGAACCCUGUCUGGGCGCUGCUGACCCAUCUCUCUUGUCGGAUGUCAGAGGGGCUAAUGUGGUUUCCAAAACUGGGAGAGAGGACGAAAGGAAGAGCCUGCGCUCUGUACUUGCUUCAAGGAGACGCAAGAAUCAGAGAACUGGCCCCCGCCCAAGACUGUAAGUGAUGGUCCAAGGAUGGGGUGUACCUGUGGGAACUUUGUGUUGCCUGAAGAGGACCCUGGUUUCAGGACUGGGGUCACACAGUACAGUUUUCUCUGUCCUCCAGAAAUCUUUAUGAGUAGCUGCUCAAAAGGAUGGGAAGCACUUGGCGUAAUAGUCCUAAGAAAAUCAUCCUGUCUCAACCAGAGCUUGAUCUUCUGCCUGCUGCUCUCAGGCUUGAUCAUGAGACUUGCUUUGGCCAACAACCUGCGAGUGGAGGUGAUGUUUGCUGUUUCUGGGCAGAAGCUCUAAGAGCUAGCCCAUAGUUCUCCACGUCCUCUCCCUGCAUCUGUCUUUGUUAGGAUGUCAGCUUGGGUUCUCAGUGAUUCAAAGCUGGUUGUUGACCCAGGAUGGAUGUGCACGAUUUUUAUUGUAUUCUUGCACAGAGAGUACAAGAGCAAUAUCAAGAAACACACAGCUCUAAGAUUCAUAAGUUGAACUCCAGCCCCCAGCCUGGCCGCGUUUGGAGAUGGGAAUUCUUAGGAAGUUAAGUGAGCUCUAAGGGUGGGGUCCCCGCCUCAUAGGAAUAGUGUCUUCUACGAGGAGACACCAGAGGGCGCUCUCGAUGCUCCCACUCCGAGGAAAGGCCAGGGGAGGACCCAGCGAGAAGGUGACCGGCGGCCUGCAAGGGGAAAGAGCCCUCAUCAGGAAUUGCAUCAGCCAGCACCUUGAUCUUGGACUUCUAGCCUUCAGAACUAUGAGGAAAUGAAUUUCUGCUGUUUAUGUCACUCGAUCUACAGUAUUUUGUCAUAACAGCCCAAAAUGCAAUUCAUACAAAAGGAAGUAUUUCAGAGAAGACUAUCAUGACUUUUUUUUGGCCAAGCCUGUGGAAGUUCCUUGGCCAGCAGUAGCCCUGUGAUCAGUGACAAAGCCAAGUCCUUAACCUCUAGGGCACCAGGGUUUAUGGUGAAACUGGAGCAGUGAAUUCUGGUGGAAUUACUUGGGAAUACAGGCAUAUGCAUGACAGUCUGGGGAAGCCAUGUUUGUGUUGUUCGAGGUGAAGAAUUAUCAUCAAUAUGCUGCUUACAUCAUAGGCUGUCCAGUGAAGAUGAAGUUUCCAACAAGGGCCUAGAAGCUCAUGAGCAUAAAGUGCUGGUGCCCUCUCAGGAAGGCUGUGAGCUGGAAGUCACUGCCAGAGAUCGAAUCCACAACCUCAUGGUUCCUAGUCAAAUUCAUUUCUGCUGCGCCAUGACCGGAACUCCGGAUUCUGUGUUUUUAAUGAAUGCACCUGAGGAAUUUUUAUGAUGGUAAGUUUGGUAAACACUGCUUUAGUCCCGCCCAGGUUGGGAUCAGAAUUCUCUUACCCAAAAGGCUGGGCAAGAUUGAGAAGCAGGGCUUCUGGUUUCAGAGGGACAUACAAGCAGUCUGUUAGGAGGCAUCCUGGAGCUAGGAUGCUGUCUGGGGGAGCGGGCUGCCACUUCCUGGGUGCUGGAUUUAGAGGACUGAGGUGUUCACAGUGAGGCUCCGGUGCUCAUGGGAACCGAGGUGACCCUGAGGGAGAGAAUGGCAGUCACGCAUCCCAGCCACAGGUGAGGGCUCUUGACGCAAACGGAAGAUUUAGGCUGGGUAGGAUUCCUAUCUCAUGGCCCAGGGAGGCUGUGGGGAAAGGCCGCUCACUCGUGGGUCAACAGCAGGGGGCGUCUCUCCUGAAAAGGAUCUUGUUCUUGGAUGGUAACCACUGGGGUGAACGGACGGUCCUUAGGAAACCAGAGCUCACCACGGAGACUAGACAGGCAGCGAGGUAACCAGUGUGUUUCAAGCCUUUCUCGUUGGGGUCCAGAUGCGAAAGGAGCUGGUGUCCUUGAAGUUCACGGUCUUGAGUUCAUCAGGGUGGCGGUGGGUGUGCCCUGGGAUAGCUGUCCCUAAGAAGAAGGGAGGACCUGAGCCGGGUGGCGCCGAGGAGCCCCUUCCCGAGGAGCCCCUUCCCACCUGGGAGCCCGCCGCCCUGGAGGGUGCCCUUGGGGUGGAUCUUCCUCAGGUGAGACCAGAGCAGGCAGGUCGAGGUGGGCGUGAGAUGUAAGGGAAUGAUUGGUUGUUUGAUCGGCCCAGAGUGGGACUUAUUGGACCGAGAGGUAAUGCUUUUGGCUCUGAUGGUUCCUAGAAACGGAAUGUUUGUGGCCCCACCGGCCCCCUAUUCAUAGUUUGAAACCUAAUCCCCAAUGUGAAGGUGUUUGGAGGCCCUGGGAGGCGAUUAGGGCAUCAGGGUGGGGCCGAUGCGGAUGGAUUCGUGCCCUUGUAAGCGGAGGAAGAGUCGGAGUUCUCCCAUCGCUGCCUGAGGACGAGGCAAGAACACGGGCUCAGGGAACAGUGAGCUGGCCCUCACCAGACUCAGAAUCUGCUUGAUCCUGGACUUUCCAGCCUCUAGGACUGUGAGAAAUAAAUGUCUGCUGUUUAU
rnacentral:lncRNA from 1 species